rnacentral:rRNA from 1 species
UACGGAGGGUGCAACCGUUGCUCGGAAUCACUGGGCGUAAAGCGCACGUAGGCGGCCUUGUAAGUUGGAUGUGAAAGCCCUGGGCUCAACCCAGGAAGUGCAUCCAAAACUGCAUGGCUUGAGUACCGGAGGGGUUCAGAGAAUUCCCGGUGUAGAGGUGAAAUUCGUAGAUAUCGGGAGGAAUACCAGUGGCGAAGGCGCUGAACUGGACGGUAACUGACGCUGAGGUGCGAAAGCGUGGGUAGCAAACAGG